CGUAUAUUAAAGUUGUUGCGGUUAAAAAGCUCGUAGUUGGAUUUCUGUUGAGGACGGCCGGUCCGCACUAUGUGCGUGUAUCUGGUUCGGCCUUGGCAUCCUCUUGAGGAACGUAUCUACGCUUGAUUGCGUGGAGCGGUAUUCAAGGCUUUUACUUUGAGGAAAUUAGAGUGUUCACGGCAGGCAAGCGCCCUGAAUAUAUUAGCAUGGAAUAAUAAUAUAGGAUCUUGGUUCUAUUUUGUUGGUUUCUAGAGCUAAGGUAAUGAUUAAUAGGGAUAAUUGGGGGCAUUUGUAUUAACGCGUCAGAGGUGGAAUUCUUGGAUUGCGUUACGACAAACUACUGCGAAAGCAUUUGCCAAGGAUGUUUUCAUUGAUCAAGAACGAAAGUAUGGGGAUCGAAGAUGAUUAGAUACCGUCGUAGUCUAUACCAUAAACUAUGCCGACUAGGGAUUGGAGGUCGUUCUUUUUAUGACUCCUUCAGCACCUUAUGAGAAAUCAAAGUCUUUGGGUUCUGGGGGGAGUAUAGUCGCAAGGCUGAAACUUAA
rnacentral:rRNA from 1 species